rnacentral:rRNA from 1 species
AGAGUUUGAUCAUGGCUCAGAUUGAACGCUGGCGGCAGGCCUAACACAUGCAAGUCGAGCGGUAGCACAGAGAGCUUGCUCUCGGGUGACGAGCGGCGGACGGGUGAGUAAUGUCUGGGAAACUGCCUGAUGGAGGGGGAUAACUACUGGAAACGGUAGCUAAUACCGCAUAACGUCGCAAGACCAAAGUGGGGGACCUUCGGGCCUCAUGCCAUCAGAUGUGCCCAGAUGGGAUUAGCUAGUAGGUGGGGUAACGGCUCACCUAGGCGACGAUCCCUAGCUGGUCUGAGAGGAUGACCAGCCACACUGGAACUGAGACACGGUCCAGACUCCUACGGGAGGCAGCAGUGGGGAAUAUUGCACAAUGGGCGCAAGCCUGAUGCAGCCAUGCCGCGUGUGUGAAGAAGGCCUUCGGGUUGUAAAGCACUUUCAGCGGGGAGGAAGGCGGUAAGGUUAAUAACCUCAGCGAUUGACGUUACCCGCAGAAGAAGCACCGGCUAACUCCGUGCCAGCAGCCGCGGUAAUACGGAGGGUGCAAGCGUUAAUCGGAAUUACUGGGCGUAAAGCGCACGCAGGCGGUCUGUCAAGUCGGAUGUGAAAUCCCCGGGCUCAACCUGGGAACUGCAUUCGAAACUGGCAGGCUAGAGUCUUGUAGAGGGGGGUAGAAUUCCAGGUGUAGCGGUGAAAUGCGUAGAGAUCUGGAGGAAUACCGGUGGCGAAGGCGGCCCCCUGGACAAAGACUGACGCUCAGGUGCGAAAGCGUGGGGAGCAAACAGGAUUAGAUACCCUGGUAGUCCACGCCGUAAACGAUGUCGAUUUGGAGGUUGUGCCCUUGAGGCGUGGCUUCCGGAGCUAACGCGUUAAAUCGACCGCCUGGGGAGUACGGCCGCAAGGUUAAAACUCAAAUGAAUUGACGGGGGCCCGCACAAGCGGUGGAGCAUGUGGUUUAAUUCGAUGCAACGCGAAGAACCUUACCUGGUCUUGACAUCCACAGAACUU